rnacentral:rRNA from 1 species
GAUGAACGCUAGCUACAGGCUUAACACAUGCAAGUCGAGGGGUAACGAGAGGAAAGCUUGCUUUCCUUGUCGACGACCGGCGCACGGGUGAGUAACGCGUAUCCAACCUGCCCCCAACUAAGGAAUAACCUUGCGAACGUAAGACUAAUACCUUAUAAUUUCCUCAGAUGUCAUCUGACGAGGAAUAAAGAUUUAUCGGUUGUGGAUGGGGAUGCGUCUGAUUAGCUUGUUGGCGGGGUAACGGCCCACCAAGGCAACGAUCAGUAGGGGUUCUGAGAGGAAGGUCCCCCACAUUGGAACUGAGACACGGUCCAAACUCCUACGGGAGGCAGCAGUGAGGAAUAUUGGUCAAUGAGCGAAAGCCUGAACCAGCCAAGUAGCGUGCAGGAUGACGGCCCUAUGGGUUGUAAACUGCUUUUAUACAGGAAUAAAGUUAGCCACGUGUGGUUAUUUGUAGGUACUGUAUGAAUAAGGACCGGCUAAUUCCGUGCCAGCCGCCGCAGUAA